UUAAAUCAUUAAAUUUAGAAGAUUUGGCGGUAUUUUAUAUAAUUAGAGGAACCUGUGUAUGAAUUGAUGAUCCACGAUAAGAUUUACUUAAUUAUUUAUGUAUUGCUGUUUUAAAAUUAUUAUUAAUUAAGUUUUUUUUAAGUUAAAAUAAUUUAAUUCAAGUCAAAAUAUAGUUUAAUUAAGAUAUGGGUUACAUUUUAAUUUUGAAAUUGGAUUUAAAAGUAA
rnacentral:rRNA from 1 species